CUCUGGGUCACCUCCCACCCGUGUUUAUUUUACCUUGUUGCUUCGGCGGGCCCGCCUUAACUGGCCGCCGGGGGGCUUACGCCCCCGGGCCCGCGCCCGCCGAAGACACCCUCGAACUCUGUCUGAAGAUUGAAGUCUGAGUGAAAAUAUAAAUUAUUUAAAACUUUCAACAACGGAUCUCUUGGUUCCGGCAUCGAUGAAGAACGCAGCGAAAUGCGAUACGUAAUGUGAAUUGCAAAUUCAGUGAAUCAUCGAGUCUUUGAACGCACAUUGCGCCCCCUGGUAUUCCGGGGGGCAUGCCUGUCCGAGCGUCAUUGCUGCCCUCAAGCCCGGCUUGUGUGUUGGGCCCCGUCCCCCGAUCUCCGGGGGACGGGCCCGAAAGGCAGCGGCGGCACCGCGUCCGGUCCUCGAGCGUAUGGGGCUUUGUCACCCGCUCUGUAGGCCCGGCCGGCGCUUGCCGAUCAACCCAAAUUUUUAUCCAGGUUGACCUCGGAUCAGGUAGGGAUACCCGCUGAACUUAAGCAUAUCAAUAAGCGGAGGAA
rnacentral:rRNA from 2 species